GGAAUGUGCAGAAGGCAGCACAAAGCCAGGUAGACUUUCUGGUUUAGCUCACGAGGGACGUAGGUCGGUGCUGUCGCGCAAGGCAGAAAGGGGAUACAUAAGAGGUGUAACUUAAAGGACUUUUGACGAUAUCAACUACAGGCAGAGUCCCAAAGCAUUUCCAAAAAAAAUUACUUGGAAAUGUUAGGAGACAAAACUAUCAAACUGAUUGAUGUCUCUAUUUUGCGGGAGACUGGAAGCAGCGUUAGGGCGCAGUAAAACCUGACUCCGGAGCAGAGCCUCCAUUCGCUCCGGCCGGCGCCAAAGCGUGCUCAGCUGGGCCAGGCGGGAGCCCCGGGGCAGCUCCCACGCACAGCUCCUCGCUCCCGCGCCACCGAGGGCCAGGAUCGGGGAAAGGAACGCGCCCGAACCUCCUGGGAGAGGAAUGCCCUGGAGCUUAUCUUAUCCCCUAAGGAAUCGCCUAUUCCUCCAGCCCGGUCUUAGGAGCACUGAGCCAUCCCACUUGGCCGGGGAAGACGAUCCUCCCGCCUUCCUCGCCACGCCGCAGCCCGAACGCGAACAGGACCCCGCUUACUUUUGGUGGCAGAGAUGAGGUUCUUGCCGUCUUUGAUGAGCUCUUUGAUGAACUUGUUGGUCCUCUCGAGCUCCGCUUCGUGCGCGCGGAUCCUCUCCCGGAACCACGGGCUGUCGAGGUAGCAGUCGCUAAACUCCAGGGGCUGCAGCCCCAUGACUGCGGCGGUGCGCGCGGGCGCAGGCCGAGCUGGGCUCCCAGGCGGCGGCAGCGAGCGGCUAGCAGGGCUGAGCGCGCGGCGAGCGCAGCACGGUCAUGUCCAGCCCAGCCCAGCGACCCUGGAGAGUACGCGGCGCAGCUCCCCAAUCCCGGCAGCCCCCGGCAGCAGCAGAGGCCGCCGCCCGGCCCCGCCCCGCCUCGGGCGCGCCCGCCCCGCCCCGCCCCCGCCCGCACGCCCCUGCUCUCCCGCCCGGGCGCCUUCGGCUCUCCUCCUCCCUGCCCUUCCCCGAACGCCUCUUCCUUCUCUUCCCCACGCGCAGUCGCCCCUCCUCUUCCUUCCGAGGCAGCGGCGAUGGAGAACGUAGUCUGUGCCCUCCACCCCCGGACGCCUGCACCUCCCCGAUCUCGGCUCACAAGGUCCAGGUGACUCAGGCUGGUCCCCGAAGUGGACGCCUGACCGAACGGGAUGGUGGGUUUGUAAUAGCAGGCCUCGGUCCCCGAGAUCAGACGACUUAAAAGUCGGGGCGGGUGGAAAUGAUUGACUCAUUUUAUCUGUGUACCGAAGGAAGGGUGCUUCGCUGUGCAAGGGCUCGCACGCCGGGUGCUCUCUCUCCUUGUCUAAUCAGCUGCCUUCGCGGGAAUGCUUAACGUCUCCAACUCAGCGUGGACUCUACAGAUUCUAGAACAUUUUUCUUCGUGUCCAUACUGAAUGGCUUAGGACAAGGGAGCGUGUGGCUAAACCGCGUUGACCCUGCUUGUGUUCUAUUCUGGAGAUUAAAUUUACACGGGUAGGAGAGGCGAUCUGCUAAAAAUAGCCCGCCGAAAGUAAA
rnacentral:lncRNA from 1 species